rfam:Martelella mediterranea DSM 17316 strain MACL11, complete genome.
CAGGCUUGCUGGAGCCCCCCAGCGGCGCCUGGGCUGUCGCCCUGCUGCGACGCCCGACACCGUGAACAACGAGGGGCUUUU